AUUUUUGUGGUGUAGAUUGCACGAGAGGUUUUCAAUUUUUAGGAGUAGUUAAAGAUAAUAGCUAUCAAAAAUA
rnacentral:tRNA from 1 species